UACGUAGGGGGCAAGCGUUAUCCGGAUUUACUGGGUGUAAAGGGAGCGUAGACGGCGUAUCAAGUCUGAAGUGAAAGCCCGCGGCUCAACCGCGGAACUGCUUUGGAAACUGGUAAGCUUGAGUGCGGGAGGGGUAAGUGGAAUUCCUAGUGUAGCGGUGAAAUGCGUAGAUAUUAGGAGGAACACCAGUGGCGAAGGCGGCUUACUGGACCGUAACUGACGUUGAGGCUCGAAAGCGUGGGGAG
rnacentral:rRNA from 1 species